UGGAAUACUGAGUGUUUAUCGAACUGUGGGGAUGGUUUUAGUUGGUUUAAGUCUCACGGCGAAUUAUUCUUGAUUUAAACACAGUCCACACAACAACAAGGCGACAGCAGGAAAGCCACGUUUGGUUGUCAACUGAGAAAUAACUUUCAAACAGGCGAUGAGGAGUAGAGAAGUUGGUACUCAAAUUAUAUAAGUAUCGCUCCGUGACCCAAGUGUUCAAAACUCAAUAUCGAAUGUUAUUGUUCUGUUUGCCUUAAAGUUCCCUUUUGUGAAAUCCGCAUUGCCUAAUGGCAAAUAAUAAAUUUAGUAUGCGCACAAAAGCAUUCAUUUGAUGGUUCAUAAACUUUACGAAAAUAAUUUAAAAUAUCCGUGUCGCAAAAUGACGGUUGACAAACCGAUUUUUCAAAUACAAUAGUUUUGAAAUUCAUUUCGGAACGGAGGUGUCAAUAAACACAACAAUUUUUAACAAAAUUAUUCAGCAGCAGCACAAUGAAGACAAAAUUUGAAUUAAAUUAUAUGCUUCAUUCUUGACUAAACCUUAUCAGUCUAAUCAAGGAAUAGCGCGAAAAUUCUAUGCAGAUUUGUACCUAUCAGAAUACUUACAAACGCUACUGAGUUGUACAUUGCUUCUCCCUGAUACUGCUCUGUGUUCUCUACAACAACAGUACUGGUAUCUUCGCUAAAGCACAAUAGGUAGGCCAUCCAAGGUUCCAAUGUAGGCUGUCUACAGUAAGCAAAUUAAGAGUCGGCGAGUCAGCAACAGAAAUUCAAAAUCAAUGUUGUUGGCUGAAUGAACGCCAUGUAUGUAUGUAUAUGUGUAUGUAUGCACAUCUGAAGGAGUACGGAGCCUACAAUGCCAAGUUGGUAGCAAUUGCAGAUUUGUAUGCCGAUACCCUGAAAGUGGCCACCAGAACAACAGCAGCACAAUUCACAUGCACACACAUGCCAUAUUGUUGGGGAGAAGCCUAUCCGCAGAGCCAAGUGCGUUUUCGCAUCCAACAUCCGUCCCUUUUGGGCUGAUGCAACAACAACUACGAGUACUUUACAUCCACGUUCAUUGUACCAUGCAGCAGCUACCAGACCGACGGUCCGUCUUCAUUCAUGAGAAGCGUGAGUAAACGUGUACGGCAUAUUCGCAUUGUCAUGAUUGGAAAAUGCCCGGUAGCAGUUGUGUUGUCGAUAUUUCUGCGCGUCGACAAUAAAUUUGGCAAUGGUCAAACAUUGCCCCAAGGCAGCCAAGCAGACAAGCGAACGAAGACUCAGCAGCAAGAACAAGUCAAAGGAUAUAGCGCAGAUGAUGUAAGAAGACGUUAAAAACAAACUCAGCAAAGGCAACAGUGCUUAGGUUAGGUAUCGGUGGGUCGACGGCACUAUCGUGCUUAUCGCAUCAAGUAAGAAGAGGCGGAGGCAGCUCGCCAUGGAGCCACCGAAUCAAAUCACAAUUUCUGCAUUUACCGCUCUGCCACACCCUCCCACUAUGUUGAGUUUAUACACAUACUCUUUAGGCUACCACCGACUCGGCAGCAACAUAUGCCCGAAGGGAAAUGUUAUGGCACAAACGAAGCGGAUUGGAGAGUAAAGUAAACGACACCGAAAACUAAGUCAAAUGCAAAAUAAAUCAAAAUAUUGCUGUGGUUUUGUGCAGAUAUUAAAAAAAUGUGUAUAUGCGCCGUUGUGUAGAGCUGCAUCAGCCGCCUUUGAGGCUUUGCAACUCCAGCCGCCAUAGCACAUGACUUUCAGUUCGCUUCGGAUGCCUAAUAUGUUGGUAAUAAAACAGUAGGCGAUCGACAGGUCUGCACGAAGUGCAACGAGAACUGCGCUGUCGCAGGUUUCUUUCAAGAUAUCAAGACAGUGAUACUCUGAUCAUAUGCCAGCCUUAUGUGCGAGCAGUGCUAUAUCUUUUCAGAUGGACAACUUCGGGAAAACGUUUACUCAUGAACUUCCACAAGAGCGCAGAUGGCUUAUCGGGGAAACGGUAGCACUCUCUUCGGAGGCUUGGUCACAUUGGGACGUCAUAGAAUGUGCUAUCCGGCGAAAGAGUAAGCGGAUUUUGCAGAAGUUCCCGUGCAGAAAAUUCCGGAUCACACAAUAUCUAGAAUUGUUGAGGCUUAUCCUGACAAUUUUAGCCCAUUUGAAGACGGCGAAUGUUAAAAUUUGCGACUUCCCCAUUUGGGGUUUCGACGGAAGCUCGGGGCACUCUGUAUACUAAAAAUGGCUGAUGAGACAUUCAGGGUCGAAUUGGCGUUAUUGGUAGGCAUUCCAACGCAAGGCUCGGAAUUAUUGGUGUGAGCCAUGGCCAUAAAUAAUAAAACGACUUGAAAUCAUUUUCGUUCUCGGGAUAUUUCAUAAACAUCGAAAGCUUCGAAGAAUACGCAUUAGGAACCGCGAAAAUUUUCAGAGAAUAUCCACGAUUAGCUCAGUGCAAAUAAUUUUGAUACAAGGAACUGAUAUCAUAAAAAGUGUACCACUUCCCAUUGGCAUGAUGUCGGAAGAAGCAUUGGAAACUAGAAAUAAAGAUUUGAGAUACUUCCGCCUUAAUAAUACUCGCAAGAAUUCGCGCAAAACUACAAUGGAGGAUCUAAUGAAUUAAUUAUUAAUCUCUUGGGAUCCACUCAUAACCAAUAUGUGCAAAAGUGGAUCACAUUGGUCCAGCAAAGACUUUUGAUAUGAUAGGGAAUCUCAAAAAUCUGCUUUUGAACUUUCAUGAUUCGGGCAAAGAAAUUAAAGCAAUAUUAUUGUUAUCUUAUUCAA